rnacentral:rRNA from 1 species
GUAGGUGGCAAGCGUUGUCCGGAAUUAUUGGGCGUAAAGCGCGCGCAGGCGGUUCUUUAAGUCUGAUGUGAAAGCCCACGGCUCAACCGUGGAGGGUCAUUGGAAACUGGAGAACUUGAGUACAGAAGGGGAAAGCGGAAUUCCACGUGUAGCGGUGAAAUGCGUAGAGAUGUGGAGGAACACCAGUGGCGAAGGCGGCUUUUCUGGUCUGUAACUGACGCUGAGGCGCGAAAGCGUGGGGAGCAAACAGGGAUUAGAUACCCUGGUAGUCCACGCCGUAAACGAUGAGUGCUAAGUGUUAGGGGGGUUUCCGCCCCCUUAGUGCUGCAGCUAACGCAUUAAGCACUCCGCCUGGGGAGUACGGCCGCAAGGCUG